ensembl:lncRNA
AUGUGCUUAUUCACAGAUAAUAGCACAGAAGCAGAGACUUUAUGUCUAAGCAGACCUAGAUUCAGAGCAGACCCGAAGCUGCUUGAAGAAGGCUGGAGGUAUGUUAAGGAGACAAGAGCUGUCAAGAAGCAGGGAUGUCUCUGGAAAGGAUGGUUUAGUAGACACCUGUUAAUUUGUCUGCCUGGCAUUUAUCCAUCUUCCUCAUGUGAUUGGAUUAAAGAUGGAUGGAAGAUACUAUCAUGUGAUUCAGAACCAAUAACAUUCAGUUUAUUGACUGGCAUGGUAUGAACAGGAAGAUCCAUUUACACCUGAAGUAAGAAAAUGUAAGCCGAAUACUUCUUUACUUAAGCAAUUUUGAGCUGAGUUACUGUCUCUUAUAAAAAAAAAGUGACUAAACUGAAACAAAUGGCUUCUUGGAGAAAUCCCUAAUGUACUAUGGUGUUUUAAACACUUAUACUCUUAAAGUGGCAUGGGCCAUCCCCUCACCUCUUUCCCUCAUAACACUCUUUUCUGGUUCUGAUCAUAUAAAAGAGAUAAUGGUCACUUCCUUUUUAUAAUUUUUCUUUAUGAGGUUAAAUGACACAUACAAGUAAAAGGAUAGUAUCUCAACCAAAUGUUACGGAUUCUAAAACUAAUCACUCGGUGCAAUUAAUCUGUGCUUAUGCUAGUGUUUGUUUGUGCUGCCUCCUCCCACACCAAGUCUAUUUACUUUGUUCAUUUACCAACAUGACUCAAAAUACAAUCAAAGCUUCAAAAAAAAAAUUACAGCAGAUGGGUGUCAAAUUAUAUUGUAAAAUUUAUCAAGUCAUUCCUAAGGUUACAUUAAAUAAACAAUAGGAAAUCUUACCUUUGCCCAUGAUUGAACUGAGAAAAGAAAUACAUGAUAUAUUACAGAAUCAAAUCACAGGUAAUGUUCUUACAAUGGGAAAAUAAAGUAAACAAAGGAAUAAACAAACAAAGCUGUAUUUGUAAAAUAUUUGAGUAUAGAAUUCAAUAUAAUUGACCUAAAUAAAGUAAUUGAUUUCACCCUCAUAAGAGGUCUGAAUUGGAUCUUAAAUAUUAGGUCAUUACUAUGAGUAAUGACAGGGAUACAGAAAAAUAUAGGUCCACAAUGAAACUCACUUUCAACUAAUUGAGCAAUAUUGAAGGUGAUUUGAAACCUCUUUGAUAUCCUUAAAUAGUGGAAAUUGAUCCCUCCUUGUAAUAAAGCUUGGCCUUCAGACAAAGCUUGAUUUUUCUACAAGAUAUAAAAUGGCAAAAAAGAAAUCUUUUAAAAAAGACUACUCAGCAUGUACUUCAUAUUUUUUCAGUGAGAGAAAAAAACUAAUUUUGCAUAUCCAUUAAAACAUACUUGAUAGUGAGUUUCCUGCUAAACCCUUAAAUUAACAAUUGAGCUUUUUUUGGUAUAUUUUAUUUCUUUUUUUUUUUAUUUUUAUCAUUAUACUUUAAGUUCUGGGGUACAUGUGCAGAACAUGCAGGUUUGUUACAUAUGUAUACACAUGCCAUGGUGGUUUGCUACAUCCAUCACCCCAUCAUCUACAUUAGGUAUGUCUCCUAAUGCUAUUCCUCCCCAAUCCCUCCAUUCCCCUGCUAUUCUUUUCUUAUCCCCCCAACUCCAGACAGGCCCCGGUGUGUGACGUUUCUAUCCCUAGGUCCAUGUGUUCUCAUUGUUCAAUACCCACUUAUGAGUGAGAACAGGUCGUGUUUGAUUUUCUGUUCUUGGGUCAUUUUGCUGAAAAUGAUGGUUUCCAGCUUUAUCCAUGUCCCUGCAAAGGACAAGAACUCAUCCUUUUUUAUGGCCACAUAGUAUUCCAUGGUGUAUAUGUGCCACAUUUUCUUUAUCCAGUCUAUCAUUGAUAGGCAUUUGGAUUGGUUCCAAGUCCUUGCUAUUGUCAACAGUGCCGCAAUAAACAUAUGUGUGCAUGUGUCUUUAGAAUAGAAUGAUUUAUAAUCUUUUGGGUAUAUACCCAGUAAUGGGAUUGCUAGGUCAAUUGGUAUUUCUAUUUCUCGAUCCUUGAGGCAUCACCACACUGUCUUCCACAAUGGUUGAACUAAUUUUACACUCCCACCAACAGUGUAAAAGCAUUCCUAUUUCUCCACAUCCUCUCUAGCAUAUGUUGUCUCCAGAUAUUUUUAAUGAUCACCAUUCUAACUGGUAUGAGAUGGUAUCUCAAUAUGGUUUUGAUUUGCAUUUCUCUAAUGACAAGUGAUGAUGAGCUUUUUUUCACGUUUGUUGUCUGCAUAGAUGUCGUCUUAUACUGAAUAAUUCAGUAUAAUUUCAGUAUAAGAUGUCACUUAUACUGAAAAGUGUCUGUUCAUAUUAUUCACCUGCUUUUGAUGGGGUUGCUUCUUUCUUGUAAAUGUGUUUAAGUUUUUUUUAGAUUCUGGAUAUUAGCCCUUUGUCAGGUGGGUAGAUUGCAAACUGUUUUCCCAUUCUGUUGGUUGCCAGCUCACUCUAAUGGUUUUUUUUUUUUUUUGGCUGUGCAGAAGAUCUUUAGUUUAAUUAGAUCCCAUUUGACUAUUUUGGCUUUUGUUGCCAGUGCUUUUGGUAUUUUAGUCAUGAAGUCCUUGCCCAUGCCUAUACCCUUAGUGGUAACACCAAGGUUUUCUUCUAGGGUUUUUAUGGUGUUAGGUCUUAUGUUUAAACCUUUAAUCCAUCUUGAGUUAAUUUUUGUAUAAGGUGUAAGGAAGGGAUCCAGUUUCAGCUUUCUGCAUAUGGCUAGUCAGUUUUCCCAGCACAAUUUAUUAAAUAGGGAAUCCUUUCCCCAUUGUUCUCUUUAAGAAGUUCUCUUGCAAUGAUCUGCAUAUCCUUUCCUUAACUUUGUCAUCCUCAUCAUCCUAACAUCAUUAGUGAUAGAAUUUAAUUUUAUAAUACUCAGUAAUAUUGUCCUAUUCAAUAUAAUAUCCUCCAUAAUCAUUUUCAUUAAAUGAUACCAUAAACUCAGCAUUGUGUUUAGUACUAGGUAUAUUUAAAAUAAAUAUUAUCUACUAUUAUUGCUAUUUUUCUUAUCCCAUUGGUCUUUUUUGAAUAGCAUAGUAAAGUAUCAUAUAUAUAUAUAUAUAUAUAUGAUUUAGUAAAAAUUGAAAUAGGCAUUGAAUAUGAGGCUGGGGUACUGACUCACUUAUACUUGAAUUCUAGCUAUAACUUUGGAUAAAUUAACAGAUACUGCUUAGCCUCAUUUCCCUUCACUUAAAAUGGGAAAGUGAUAUUAUUAUUUACGAAGUACAAUGACAUUAUUCGCCCAAAGAAUUUAGCAAAGUGCUUGGUCGUAGUAAGUAUUAAUAUUAAUUAAAAUAACAAUAAUAUACUUUAGGCUGUUUUAUUUUCAUGAAUAUAAAUGUUUUGACAGACAUCAACUUUGGACCUCAC